CCCUUGUACACACCGCCCGUCACACCAUGGGAGUUGGCUUUACCUGAAGGCGGUGCGCCAACCCGCAAGGGGGCAGCCGACCACGGUAGGGUCAGCGACUGGGGUG
rnacentral:rRNA from 1 species